CAUCGAUCAGAUCCCAGAAGGAGAGCAGGGUUCAACACAGAAGUGCUGGGCAGGGAAGGGGUUAAACCACAUUCCUCUGUAGUAAGCCCCCACAGCUUGUCAUAGCCAAGCCUGAGUCAGGUGUGAUGAAUAACUUUAAUGACUAUUAAUUAAGUAUCAAGUCAUUAGCAAGGAGGCUGUAGAAGCCUGGGAAGAAGAAAGGAGAAGGUUUGGGGUUUUUCCUGCAUCUCUAGAAUCUCCUGGGAGCAGCGAGAGCCUCUGAAGAAGCAAUAUUUAGAUGGGAAACUUAUGUCCUCCAAGCUGGCAAGCUGCAACAGUGACACAGAUUUUUUUUUUCUUGUCGCUGCAAAACUCUCCCUGUAAAAGCUGCAGAACACCCGAGUGAGCAGAGCCCUGGGCAGCA
rnacentral:lncRNA from 1 species